GUUGAACGCUGGCGGCAUGCCUUACACAUGCAAGUCGAACGGUAACAGGUCUUCGGUUGCUGACGGGUGGCGACCGGGGGCGUAAUACAUCGGAACGUGCCCGCUCCUUGGGGAUAACGGGGCACAAGCUUAACUAAUACCUCAUACGAUCUACGGAUGAGAGCGGGGGAUCUUCGGACCGCGCGCCGGCCUUGCGGCCGCUGGCAGAUUAGGUAGUUGGUGGGAUAAAAGCUUACCAAGCCGACGAUCUGUAGCUGGUCUGAGAGGAUGAUCAGCCACACUGGGACUGAGACACGGCCCAGACUCCUACGGGAGGCAGCAGUGGGGAAUUUUGGACAAUGGGCGAAAGCCUGAUCCAGCCAUGCCGCGUGCAGGAUGAAGGCCUUCGGGUUGUAAACUGCUUUUGUACGGAACGAAAAGCCUCUUUCUAAUAAAGAGGGGUCAUGACGGUACCGUAAGAAUAAGCACCGGCUAACUACGUG
rnacentral:rRNA from 1 species